UACGGGGGGGGCAAGCGUUGUUCGGAAUUACUGGGCGUAAAGGGCUCGUAGGCGGCCAACUAAGUCAGACGUGAAGUCCCUCGGCUUAACCGGGGAACUGCGUCUGAUACUGGAUGGCUUGAGAUUGGGAGAGGGAUGCGGAAUUCCAGGUGUAGCGGUGAAAUGCGUAGAUAUCUGGAGGAACACCGGUGGCGAAGGCGGCAUCCUGGACCAACACUGACGCUGAGUGAGCGAAAGCCAGGGGAGCAAACGGG
rnacentral:rRNA from 1 species